CCAGACUCCUACGGGAGGCAGCAGUGGGGAAUAUUGGGCAAUGGGCGCAAGCCUGACCCAGCAACGCCGCGUGAAGGAAGAAGGCCCUCGGGUUGUAAACUUCUUUUAUUCGGGACGAAACAAAUGACGGUACCGAAUGAAUAAGCCACGGCUAACUACGUGCCAGCAGCCGCGGUAAUACGUAGGGAGCAAGCGUUGUCCGGAAUUACUGGGCGUAAAGGGCGCGUAGGUGGGCGCUUAAGUCAGGUGUGAAAACUCCGGGCUCAACCUGGAGACUGCACUUGAAACUGGGUGUCUUGAGGGCAGGAGAGGAAAGUGGAAUUCCUGGUGUAGCGGUGAAAUGCGUAGAUAUUAGGAGGAACACCAGUGGCGAAGGCGACUUUCUGGACUGUACCUGACGCUGAGGCGCGAAAGCGUGGGUAGCGAACGGGAUUAGAUACCC
rnacentral:rRNA from 1 species